rnacentral:rRNA from 1 species
GACGAAGGAUGCAAGCGUUAUCCGGAUUCAUUGGGUUUAAAGGGUGCGUAGGCGGACUUGUAAGUCAGUGGUGAAAUCUCUCAGCUUAACUGAGAAACUGCCAUUGAUACUGCAGGUCUUGAGUACAGAUGAUGUUGGCGGAAUAUGACAUGUAGCGGUGAAAUGCAUAGAUAUGUCAUAGAACACCGAUUGCGAAGGCAGCUGACAAAACUGUAACUGACGCUGAGGCACGAAAGUGUGGGGAUCAAACAGG